rnacentral:rRNA from 1 species
ACGAGAAUAUUCGACAAUGGGCGAAAGCCUGAUCGAGCGACGCCGCGUGAAGGAUGAAGUCCCUCUGGGACGUAAACUUCUUUUGUCAGGGAGAAAGUACAAGCUUUUAGCUUGUAUUGACGGUACCUGAAGAAUAAGGGGUUGCUAAACUCGUGCCAGCAGCAGCGGUAAUACGAGUGCCCCAAGCGUUAUCCGGAAUCAUUGGGCGUAAAGGGUGUGUAGGUGGUCUCAUUAGUCUUCUGUCAAAUCCUCGGGCUCAACCCGAGAUCUGCAGAGGAAACGGCGAGACUCGAGGAUGCGAGAGGUGAAUGGAACUCAUGGAGUAGGGGUGAAAUCCGUUGAUAUCAUGGGGAACACCGAAGGCGAAGGCAAUUCACUGGCGCAUUCCUGACACUGAAACACGAAAGCGUGGGUAGCGAACGGGAUUAGAUACCCGCGUAGUCC